GACGAAGCGUGCGAGCGUUGUUCGGAAUCACUGGGCUUAAAGGGCGCGUAGGCGGGCUGUCAAGUCUGGGGUGAAAUGCUGCGGCUCAACCGUAGAACUGCCUUAGAUACUGACGGCCUCGAGGAAGGUAGGGGCAUGCGGAACUGUAGGUGGAGCGGUGAAAUGCGUUGAUAUCUACAGGAACUCCGGUGGCGAAAGCGGCGUGCUGGACCUUUUCUGACGCUGAGGCGCGAAAGCUAGGGGAGCAAACGGG
rnacentral:rRNA from 1 species